rnacentral:lncRNA from 1 species
UAGAAAUUCAAUUUUUAUUUUAGUUAGAACAAUAUCAAGUAAAAAAAUCCUAACAAUUUCUAUGGAAAUUUAUGGUUCGACCAUCAUGUUUGACUUUUUCGAAAGUUCAUUAGCCAUCGACAUAAAUUUCACUACCUGCCUUGCAUGAACGCCAACUAAUGCCACCCUUUGAAAUUGUGGAAUAUACAUCCUCUAUUAAAACAAUUUGUUUGCCAAAAUCAUGUCAUAAAGAUAAACAUGGAGAACUUGCAAAUGACAACAUCAAUAUCUCCAUUUAUUGACUCGAACAACUGCCAAAAUCAUGUCAUAUAGGUAAACAUGGAGAACUUGCUAACAACAACGUCAAUAUCUCCAUUUAUUGACUCGAACAAUUAGCCUAAUAUGCUCUACAUUUUUCGAUAGUUUUUCUUGAAGUGUCCAAGCUGUUCAUGUUUGCCGAGAGCUAAUCUUUUUUUCAAAAUCUUAUGCAAUCCAGACUGAUUCAAAAUAUAAUUGACUUCUACUUAUCACAAGCCAAAAAAUUCUCCCGUAAAAUUUUUCCACGUAUUUACAUGUAUUUUCUAUACCCACCACUUCGAAUGACUUGAUGCUCUCAACUACUUUUUGGAAAUAUAUAAGCUACAAACCGUUCCUAAAAUUCCUUCCACUAUUCAUCUUAAUUCCCACAUGAACUUUGAUAGUGAUGCUACCAAAAAAUAUCACUUGAAGAUCUCGAACUUGAUGACUGAGAUGGAACACGAACUGCGCCUUCCAGUACCUGAAACAAAGGUAACGAGGUGUGUGCUCGUCGCCCCUCCGAUACUUAAGUCAGAUAGGGAAUUUAAUGCGUGAGGUUAUAAAUUGAGG